rnacentral:rRNA from 1 species
ACGGAAGGCAGCAGUGGGGAAUAUUGCACAAUGGGGGAAACCCUGAUGCAGCGACGCCGCGUGAGUGAAGAAGUAUUUCGGUAUGUAAAGCUCUACCAGCAGGGAAGAAAAUGACGGUACCUGAAUAAGAAGCCCCGGCUAACUACGUGCCAGCAGCCGCGGUAAUACGUAGGGGGCAAGCGUUAUCCGGAUUUACUGGGUGUAAAGGGAGCGUAGACGGCAUGGCAAGUCUGAAGUGAAAGCUCGGGGCUCAACCCCGGAACUGCUUUGGAAACUGUCAAGCUGGAGUACCGGAGAGGUAAGCGGAAUUCCUAGUGUAGCGGUGAAAUGCGUAGAUAUUAGGAGGAACACCAGUGGCGAAGGCGGCUUACUGGACGGUAACUGACGUUGAGGCUCGAAAGCGUGGGGAGCAAACAGGAUUAGAUACCCUGGUA